rnacentral:rRNA from 1 species
ACUAUUAAACGGCCGCGGUAUCCUAACCGUGCAAAGGUAGCAUAAUCAUUUGUCUAUUAAUUGUAGACCUGUAUGAAAGGCAAAAUGAGAGCCCAACUGUCUCUUAUAACAAAUCAAUUAAACUGAUCUCCUAGUACAAAAGCUAGAAUAUCAACAUAAGACCAGAAGACCCUGUGAAGCUUUAACAAACCUAUUAAACCCAAUAAUAAUUACUUUCGGUUGGGGCGACCUUGGAACAAAAAAGAACUUCCAACACAUGACUUCCUCAUAAAACAGGCAAACAAGCCAAUACUAGACCCAGCACAGCUGAUAAUUGAAAUAAGUUACUCCAGGGAUAACAGCGCCCUCUUCUUUAAGAGCCCAUAUCAAAAAGAAGGUUUACGACCUCGAUGUUGGAUCA